UAUAUAUAUAUAUAUAUAUAUAUAUGUAUAUAUAAAUAUAAAAACAAAUUAUAUAUAUAUAAAUAUAAAAAUAAAUUAUAUAUAAUCUGCUCCGUGAUUGACUGGAACAAGAUCAUAAACACACGAGAGCAGAGCAGUUUAAUAUGACACUACUGUAGAUUAAAUACUUUUGCCCUGCAGUACAUGUGAAUUCAUGAGGGAUCCCUCAAUCAUCAUAAUAUGCUAGCUCAAAAUCAUCGUUUAUUUGUAACAUACAAUUUAUAUAUACUAAUUUAAGUUAUGUAUUUUUUUUUAGAUAUAUAGAAUGUAUUUAAAAUUAUGUACACACAUAGAACAAUUGUGAAACUGAUUAAUAAUAUGUCUACGUAACGUAUCGGGAUGUUUCUUUUGUUUUGUGUUAUUUCAAUAAUUUACUACUCAUGAAUUAUUAUAAUAAUAAUAAUAAUAAUAAUAAUAAUAAUAAUAAUAAUAAUAAUAAUAAUUUAUUUGCCACAAUUUUAUCAUUAACUGAGUUCCUUUUUACUGUAUUAAUACAUAGAAAUUGAAUAACAUACUGUACCGAAUUGAAUUCAAUAAUAACUCAUUUAAUUGUUUUAGAGGCUUAAAGGUGAGAAUUACAGUCAACAUAUUUACCCUGCAAUUCGUUAAUAAUAUUCAUAUCCGUGUUUACGAAGAGCUAUCACAGCAUCUACCGACUAAAAUACAAUUUCUAAAGCGUUUGUGUACAGAUAUAUAAUUAUAAUGGGCAUAGUAUAACUAGGAAGUACCGGUAGUCAUUUUACCCUGGUAUAACAUAGAAAUAGGAAAUAGUGUAUAAAAUGGCGAAUUAUAGAGAUGUAUAUUAAUAUUUGUGUCUACUUAGCAGUUUAUAAUUGUAAAUGUGAAUAUUCUAAUGAUAUUUCAGAAUAUGUUCAAAAAAAUGAAUAUACUAUAAUAAAUAUUUAAUAUCAAAAUGGCAGUUAAAAAUAUUAGACCCUUAAAUCUGUUAAUGAAAUUCAUGUCAAUGUUUACAAAGCGCUAAGCUUUCAUUAUCCAUCAUAUAUUCGUAAAACAGCAAGUAAAGGUAUCAGCAAUGGCGCUGUCAUUGGUGGCGAAGAUUCUUUUUGUUUCAUUAAACUACAGUUUGAUUCUAAGUUUGGAAUGCCAAGGCAAAGAAAGAGUUGAUGCUUUGGAAACACACGACUGUCUGCGUACCUGUGAAUAUCCUGCAAAACCGAAAGUAUGUGAAUAUGUAUUCUCAGCAAAAUGGUUCUACUCCAUGUCUUCAUACUGCUUCGAUUGUCCAGUAAUGUUGGACGACUGCUACUUAGAAGAAUGUGUAGCGCUUGACGGUUCCGCUCGACCAGUUGUCGUCACCAACAGCACGAUACCCGGACCGAGCAUUCAGGUGUGUGAAGGUGAUACAGUUCGAGUGAAAUUGGUUAAUAAUCUACAAGACCACGGUGCCUUGACAAUCCAUUGGUAUGGAAUACAUCAAGUCGGUACAAACUGGAUGGACGGUGCAUCCAUGAUAACACAAUGUCCAGUUGUGUCUUCGUCUUCAUUUACCUAUGAAUUUAAAGCAGACCCGGCAGGGACCCAUUGGUGGCACGCCCAUUCUGGUUACCAGAGGGAUGAUGGUAUGUACGGUUCAUUGAUUGUAAGGCAAGCGAGGGAAGUUGAACAUAAUGGAUAUGCCUAUGAUUUUGAUCUUCCGGAGCAUGUGGUGAUGUUGGCGGACUGGAAGAGUCGACCCGCCAUGAGUACAUUUUUGAUGACGGAAAGUCCCACCAGAUACGUCAUACCAGAAGAACAAACAUUUUCAAUAUUAGUGAAUGGAAGGGCGAAGGAAGUUCCAUUUAAUGAUGAGUAUGGAGAGACCUACUUCACACCACUUUCAAGUUUUAAAGUUGAAGAAGGUAUGACGUACCGUUUUCGGGUGAUCAGCGCGGCUUUUGCUUUGUGUAAUUUACAAGUAUCAAUUGAAUCACAUCCUCUGACUAUCAUCGCAGUAGAUGGAUCUGAAGUGAGACCCAAAGAAGUAGAUUCCUUCGUUAUAGCUCCAGGAGAAAGAUAUGACUUCCUGUUGAAAGCAACUGCUAAGCCAGCAUCUUACUGUAUAUUUUUAGCUGGAACCUCAUCUACCGAGUGUGUUGAUGACGGAGUUGCCAUGUUACAGUACAGUACUGGUUCAAAAGAAGAACUUUCAUGCUUGCCGGUUCCAGAAGUCCCCGCGCAACUUACAGAUACAGCGAUAUUUUCAGUACUGGAAUCAUACCCGCUUGAUUACUUUGAUGAAGAUCUACAUAGUGUAGAUGCCAAAUAUUACAUCUCGUUGUCUUUACUACGGACGACAUAUUUCAGCGAUGACGGACGGCCAUUAGAUAGUGGUGUACUUUCAAAUUUCCAAAUCGAUAAUGUCAACUUUAUCUACCCGAAUGCUCCUAUUCUGUCAAAUAAGCAAGCAAACAUAGAAACCUGUCAUCCGAAUCAGGACAGUUCCUUCUAUGACAAAUGUGCCGAAGAGGUGUGUGACUGCACCAAUGUUUUAAAGCUGCCGCUUGGACAGGCUUGCUGUCCCGAAUUUCACCCGCAAAUGCUGUCAUCAAAGACACUGUAAAUGUUCCAGGUUUCGGCUACGUCAUCAUAAGGUGGAAGACGGAGAAUCCAGGAUAUUGGUUUUUCCAUUGCCAAACCAACAGCCAUUUAGAAACUGGACAAGGCACAAUUCUCCAAAUCGGCGAGACUGAUGAAAUUCCAGCAGCCCCUGAGGAUUUUCCAAACUGUGGGCCGUGGCCUUCAAAUUAAUAAUUAGGACGAUUAUCAUUGGAAAAGUGGAAAAUAGGCCAGCUUGAAGUAUGCCUAUGUUUUUAGAACUGAUUGUCUAAAGUAAAUAUAAAAUUUGCAAUAUGGCUUACACAAUUUAUCUUUUAUAGUUGUUUCUAUCAUUUCAUCAACAAGGUAACUCCAAUAACAGUCUCAUUAUAAUGCUUGCUUAGGGAAUUGACGGUGUAUAUUAUCAAAUAAUAAAAUUAAUAACUUGAACAGCAACUGAACCUAGAACUUUGGGACUGGAAGGCAAGCAUCUUAAUUACCAAGUUAAAGCUCCACUUUUAAAUCCAUAUUAUUUUUGUAUCAUUCAAGACCAAAAUAAUCAUCGUGAAACAUAAACCUAAAUAUAAAAGAUUACAAAAAAUAAACAAAGUUUACACAACCCAUGCCCACCGUAUUCAGGGAUAACUUUGUAUAAAUAUCAUCUAUUUAUUGGGUUUUUUUCUCUAAUUUACAUAUUCCACUCAUUUGUUGUUUGAAUUAAUUAUGUAUUAAUCUAUACGAGUAAAUGCAUAAGUCUGUACCAUAUGUUUGGAUAAUUUCAAAUGGUAGUAUUAAACAUAGUGAUACUACAUGUAGAUGAUCACGUGAUCAUACCAGUAUAAUUGCCAAACAGUAAAUAAAUGUAAAUUGCAUCAGUGCCUUCAUAUUAUCUGUUAUUAUCUGUUUAUAAGCGGCGAAUAUAAGCUGGACAACGUUCAUAACAUCUUUACUUUUAGGUUUUUAUUUAACCUACCUGUUCAUUUAUGUAAAAAUUCUUCUGAUCUAUCAUGAGAGAAGUUCCUUGUUUUGGGCAUAGGCCCUUUGCCACCAGGUCAUUUGCCACCUGGCCAUUUACCACCAGGCCUUUUACCACCCGGUCUUUUGCCACCGAGGGGAAAUGAAUUCAGGUAAUAAAAGGCCAAUUGGUAAACUACCGAAUGUGAAAUUGCCGUGUGUUAAAUGACCGGAUGUCGACACAGGCCUCAAGGUGGCAAAAGACCAGUUGGCAAAAGUACGUGUGGAAAAUUGCCUUGUGGUAAAUGUCUGGAUGAAAAAAUCAUAUAUUCGCUUAUCGCUUAUUUAAUUGAAACGGGUAAAUUUUGUGUUGCAGUAAUGGUUAUUGGGAUCACAGAAUUCAAUUAGAGACGAAAAAGCUAGGACAGCAAUCAUAUUGAAAUUCAAGAUGACCGCCUCGAAAUAUCAAUUUUUUAAAAUAUAAUAUUUUGUAGGAUAGUUGUUGAACGCCGCCAGUCUAUUUCAGUAUUUUUCUUUUUAUGUGUACAUAAUAUGGGUGAUGUCCCCACUUGUUAUAGGGUACCCACUUUAUUUUUCACAUACUGAACUCAAAAAGCAAAUUGUGCCAAAAUCGUAGUAAAUUUUGCUAUAUUUAUAACGCAAAUUUUAAUUCCACAACCCCUCUGUAAGUGUUGCCGAAACUGUACAGUUUAUACUUUUUAGCGACCCUUUCUUAGUAUGCUUAGUUUUUCCAUUUUUACGGUUCCUUAAUUUUUGGGUCUCAAAUGAUAAAGUUGGGGAAAAUAUUUCAAUAACUCGACGUUUCACCUGAUCGCUUAUUAUGUCUUCAUAGCUGUCGUAAACAUGAGAAUAAUAAGAGGCUUAUACGUGGCCAAACCUACAAAAAUGGCACAAAAAGGCAAAAAAA
rnacentral:misc_RNA from 1 species